CAGUAGCCGCGGUAAUACGAGGGGGGCAAGCGUUGUUCGGAUUUAUUGGGCGUAAAGGGUGCGUAGGCGGUUUGGCAAGUCUUGUGUGAAAUCUUCGGGCUCAACCCGAAGCCUGCACGAGAAACUACCGGGCUUGAGUAUUGGAGAGGUGAGUGGAAUUUCCGGUGUAGCGGUGAAAUGCGUAGAUAUCGGAAGGAACACCUGUGGCGAAAGCGGCUCACUGGACAAUAACUGACGCUGAUGCACGAAAGCUAGGGGAGCAAACAGGAUUAGAUACCCGGGUAGUCCCUGUCUCUUAUAC
rnacentral:rRNA from 1 species